UAUUUUUAUAAAACUAUUAUGUACUUGAAUUUUUUUUAAUCUAAUUUAUUUGAAAAUUUAACUACUAUAACAUCCUGCUAAGCACUGCCACGGGGGUAGUGUUACGAAAAAGAUCAUUAAUUUGCUUUCUUUUUUUAUUCAAAUUAAUUAACUCCACCAUGUUCGGUUAAUCACUUUCGCAAGAAAGAUCCUUUUCUGAGAAAGGAAAUGCAUAUAUAGACGUCGCUGGUCGUGAAAUGUGUUGUUACCUUGUAAACAAAUCGUAAAACAUUAUCCCUAAAGCUGGAGCCUUAGAAAGCAUUAACGCCCAAGUCUCGAACAUGAACAGGAAUUGGAUGUUGUGUGUUUGCUUUCUCUUUGCAGGAGUUUUCCUGGAAAAAUGUGAAUGUCUUAAUGUUCCUAAAUUCAUUACUUCACAUCCAAGACUUGGAACAACAAAUGAUAAAGCGCAUUCUUUGAAAACAGCUAUUCUUUUUCAUUAUAUUAACUACUUUGGAGCGUGAAAACCCGAAAAGAUGCACACAAUGGAGGUCAAAAUAUGUUUUGCGUGCAUUGACGCUGCGUGCGCUCUUAUUGGCGAGAGACCGAGAGACAGGAAAAGUGCGAAGAAGAACAAGUUGACAAAGCUCUGUUACCUGGCCCACAAGGGGAAGGAUGUUACAAGAUGGUUCACAAUCGCAAGUCAAAUAGCCGAGGUCCUUUGUGCCGCUUGUUCCGAUUUAGUGACUGACGAGGAAAAAACAGUUUGUGAAAAGAAAAUGUGUCAGUGAAUAUUCUACACAAACAAGGCCGUGAUCGCGAAACCCGUCCAACCACAUGAAAUCUUCGUCUUAUUAAUUGAUCACCAGCGAAAAUGGGAAUUAUCUAUGCCACAUACAUUUUUAACAAUUGAACAUGUUCAAUAAUUCAGCAGGUUUUAUAAUCAUUACUGUGUCAGGAAGGGCGAUGUUCUUUUGGGUAGUUUCGAUCUUAUUAAUAAGAGCACUGACAUUUACUUUACAAUGUAUUAGAAACGUGUACGUGUUUGUACCUUCUAGAGAUGCUGUAGUUACUCCGAAAAAUCUCUCUUUUAUUGGAAGAAUGUGGUUGACUAGGAUAAAAAAUUAAACAUUUAGAGAUAAAAUGUAUUAAACAGUAUAGAUAUGCACAUGUAUGUAAUAAUUAAACAUAGAUAUGUACUUGUGAGUGAUGUGGUAGAGUAGCACUGAAUGUAAUCAAUAUUUGUAUAAUCUAUAAAAUGUCAAAUAAAUUGCAAUAAAUAUUAAUAAAUAUACACGUUGAUUAUGUUUCAGAGCAUAUAGAUUUUAGUGGUACUUGUGAUGUGGUAGAGCAGCACUGAAUGUAAUCAAUUUUUGUAUAAUCUAUAAAAUGUCAAAUAAAUUGCAAUAAAUAUUAAUAAAUAUA